CGGAGGAUCCAAGCGUUAUCCGGAAUCAUUGGGUUUAAAGGGUCCGUAGGCGGUUUGGUAAGUCAGUGGUGAAAGCCCAUCGCUUAACGAUGGAACGGCCAUUGAUACUGCCAGACUUGAAUUACUGGGAAGUAACUAGAAUAUGUAGUGUAGCGGUGAAAUGCUUAGAUAUUACAUGGAAUACCAAUUGCGAAGGCAGGUUACUACCGGUGUAUUGACGCUGAUGGACGAAAGCGUGGGGAGCGAACAGGAUUAGAUACCCUGGUAGUCCACGCCGUAAACGAUGGAUACUAGCUGUUGGGAGUAAUCUCAGUGGCUAAGCGAAAGUGAUAAGUAUCCCACCUGGGGAGUACGAACGCAAGUUUG
rnacentral:rRNA from 1 species